CUGAAGUUUCCUGCUCAAAAUCAUGUGCUGGAAUCAUGUUAAAUAGAUGUCAGUUGGCUUUUGGCGCUUUUGGCACCAAACAUGCAAUUAGAGCAUGGAAAGUUGAGGAAUUUCUGGCGGGAAAACUUUUAACAAUUGAUAUUCUGUAUGAUGCUAUUAAAUUAGUUAAAGCUAAUGUAAUGCCUGAAGAUGGGACUAGGAAUCCUACAUAUAGGUCAAGCUUGGCUGUUGGUUUUCUUUUUGCCUUUCUUAGCCCCUUAAUAAAUACCAUUUGUAAUGGUUCAGUGAAUAGAUCUAUUAACACUUUGAUGUUCAAUGACGGAAAGUCAAAACAGAAUUAUGACUGUCUAGACCAUGUUAAAUUCCCUACUUUGCUAUCAUCUGCAAGGCAAGUGAUCCAAAUAAACAAAGAAUAUCAUCCCGUUGGUGAGCCAGUUACAAAAUCGGGAGCUGCACUUCAAGCUUCUGGUGAAGCUGUUUACGUGGAUGACAUUCCCUCUCCAAGAGAUUGUCUACAUGGAGCAUUCAUUUAUAGCAAAAAGCCUUUUGCAAGGGUAAAGGGUAUUGAAUUCAAUUCUAAAUUGCUCCCAGCUGGACUCACUGCACUUAUUUCUUUCAAAGACAUUCCAAAUGGUGGGGAGAACAUAGGUGCUAAGACCAUUUUUGGUCCUGAACCUUUGUUUGCUGAUGAGUUCACUCGAUGUUCAGGAGAAAGACUUGCUCUUGUGGUUGCAGAUACACAGAAACAUGCAG
rnacentral:misc_RNA from 1 species